rnacentral:tRNA from 1 species
GAUUCCGUGGUGUAGCGGUUAUCACGUGAGUCUAACACACUCAAGGUCCCCGGUUCGAUCCCGGGCGGAAUCA